rnacentral:rRNA from 1 species
UACAGAGGUCUCAAGCGUUGUUCGGAUUCAUUGGGCGUAAAGGGUGCGUAGGCGGCGCGGUAAGUCGGGUGUGAAAUCUUGGAGCUUAACUCCGAAACUGCAUUCGAUACUGCCGUGCUUGAGGACUGGAGAGGAGACUGGAAUUUACGGCGUAGCAGUGAAAUGCGUAGAGAUCGUAAGGAAGACCAGUGGCGAAGGCGGGUCUCUGGACAGUUCCUGACACUGAGGCACGAAGGCCAGGGGAGCAAACGGG